rnacentral:rRNA from 1 species
CGGAUGAACGCUGGCGGCGUGCUUAACACAUGCAAGUCGAACGGAGAAAGGGUAGCUUGCUAUCUUUUCUUAGUGGCGGACGGGUGAGUAACGCGUGGGUAACCUGCCCUUUGCAGGGGAAUAACAGUGAGAAAUCGCUGCUAAUACCGCAUACCAACUUCUUUCGCAUGAAGGAAGUUUGAAAGAUUUAUCGGCAAAGGAUGGACCCGCGUUGGAUUAGCUAGUUGGUGAGAUAACAGCCCACCAAGGCAACGAUCCAUAGCCGGCCUGAGAGGGUGAACGGCCACACUGGGACUGAGACACGGCCCAGACUCCUACGGGAGGCAGCAGUGGGGAAUAUUGCACAAUGGGCGAAAGCCUGAUGCAGCGACGCCGCGUGAAGGAUGAAGGUCUUCGGAUUGUAAACUUCUAUCAGCAGGGAAGAAAGGGCUUAUAGCCUAUGACGGUACCUGACUAAGAAGCCCCGGCUAACUACGUG